UACGUAAGGUCCGAGCGUUGUCCGGAAUCAUUGGGCGUAAAGGGUACGUAGGCGGUUUUUUGGGUCCACAGUAAAAGGCAGUGGCUCAACCAAUGUUCGCAGUGGAAACUAUAAAACUUGAGUAGAUGAGGGGCAAGUGGAAUUCCUAGUGUAGCGGUGAAAUGCGUAGAUAUUAGGAGGAAUACCGGUGGCGAAAGCGACUUGCUGGAAUCUAACUGACGCUGAGGUACGAAAGCGUGGGGAGCAAACAGG
rnacentral:rRNA from 1 species